rnacentral:snRNA from 1 species
AUCACAGCGUUCACUUCAUAGCCCCCCAAUCUUUCGCCUUCUACUAAAGGUUGCUGUGAAUGGGACGCAUCAAUGAGACUCACACAUUUUUUGGGAGCUCUCAACUCCAACAAGCA